GGGUACAUAGCUCAGUGGUAGAGCGGAAGACUGCAGUACAUACGUUUCGAUUGAACAAAGGCUGGUGAAACAGCCAAAGCAGGGAUCUUCAGGUCCGUGGUUCAACUCCGCGUGUGCCCU
rnacentral:tRNA from 1 species